rnacentral:rRNA from 1 species
AUUGAACGCUGGCGGCAUGCUUUCACAUGCAAGUCGAACGGCAGCACGGGGGCAACCCUGGUGGCGAGUGGCGAACGGGUGAGUAAUAUAUCGGAACGUACCCGGAAAUGGGGGAUAACGUAGCGAAAGUUACGCUAAUACCGCAUAUGCCCUAAGGGGGAAAGCGGGGGAUUCGCAAGAACCUCGCGUUUUCGGAGCGGCCGAUAUCGGAUUAGCUAGUAGGUGAGGUAAAGGCUCACCUAGGCGACGAUCCGUAGCUGGUCUGAGAGGACGACCAGCCACACUGGAACUGAGACACGGUCCAGACUCCUACGGGAGGCAGCAGUGGGGAAUUUUGGACAAUGGGCGCAAGCCUGAUCCAGCCAUGCCGCGUGAGUGAAGAAGGCCUUCGGGUUGUAAAGCUCUUUCAGCCGGAAAGAAAACGCACGGGAUAAUACCCCGUGUGGAUGACGGUACCGGAAGAAGAAGCACCGGCUAACUACGUGCCAGCAGCCGCGGUAAUACGUAGGGUGCGAGCGUUAAUCGGAAUUACUGGGCGUAAAGCGUGCGCAGGCGGUUUUGUAAGACAGAUGUGAAAUCCCCGGGCUUAACCUGGGAACUGCAUUUGUAACUGCAAGGCUAGAGUGCGGCAGAGGGGGGUAGAAUUCCACGUGUAGCAGUGAAAUGCGUAGAUAUGUGGAGGAAUACCGAUGGCGAAGGCAGCCCCCUGGGUCGAUACUGACGCUCAUGCACGAAAGCGUGGGGAGCAAACAGGAUUAGAUACCCUGGUAGUCCACGCCCUAAACGAUGUCAACUAGGUGUUGGGGGAGGAGACUUCCUUAGUACCGCAGCUAACGCGUGAAGUUGACCGCCUGGGGGAGUACGGUCGCAAGAUUAAAACUCAAAGGGAAUUGACGGGGGACCCGCCACAAGCGGGUGGAUUAUGUGGGAUUUAAUUCGAUGCAAACGCGAAAAAACCCUUAACCUACCCUUUGACAUGCCC